AUUGAACGCUGGCGGCAGGCCUAACACAUGCAAGUCGAGCGAGCGGCGGACGGGUGAGUAAUGUAUGGGGACUGCCCGAUAGAGGGGGAUAACUACUGGAAACGGUAGCUAAUACCGCAUACUAUCGGAUAACCCAUAUGGGAUUAGCUAGUAGGUGAGGUAAUGGCUCACCUAGGCGGCGAUCCCUAGCUGGUCUGAGAGGAUGAUCAGCCACAAGGGGACUUAGACAAGGCCCAGACUCCCACGGGGGGAGCAGUGGGGAAUAAUGGCCCAUGGGCGCAAGCCCUAAUGAGGCAUUGCGCGGGUAAGAAGAAGGCCCUAGGGUUGUAAAGUACUUUCAGUCGGGAGGCGUUACCGACAGAAGAAGCACCGGCUAACUCCGUGCCAGCAGCCGCGGUAAUUC
rnacentral:rRNA from 1 species